rnacentral:rRNA from 1 species
ACACUGCCAAGAAAAGCUUCUAGCGUUAAUCAUACUCUACCCGUACCGCAAACCGACACAGGUAGUCAAGGAGAGUAUCCUGAGGCGCUCGAGUGAAUCACGGCCAAGGAACUCGGCAAAAUGGUCCUGUAACUUCGGGAGAAGGGACGCUUCCUCUAGUGAUAGAGAAGCCGCAGUGAAAAGACCCAAGCGACUGUUUAACAAAAACACAUGACUUUGC